UUCAGAGGUCCCAAGCGUUGUUCGGAUUCAUUGGGCGUAAAGGGUGCGUAGGCGGCGCGGUAAGUCGGGUGUGAAAUCUCGGGGCUUAACUCCGAAACUGCAUUCGAUACUGCCGUGCUUGAGGACUGGAGAGGAGACUGGAAUUUACGGUGUAGCGGUGAAAUUCGUAGAUAUCAAGCGGAACACCGGUGGCGAAGGCGGCCUUCUGGACAGUGACUGACGCUGAGACGCGAAAGCGUGGGGAGCAAACAGG
rnacentral:rRNA from 1 species